rnacentral:rRNA from 1 species
GAUGAACGCUGGCGGCGUGCCUAAUACAUGCAAGUCGAGCGAACAGAUGAGGAGCUUGCUCCUCUGACGUUAGCGGCGGACGGGUGAGUAACACGUGGAUAACCUACCUAUAAGACUGGGAUAACUUCGGGAAACCGGAGCUAAUACCGGAUAAUAUAUUGAACCGCAUGGUUCAAUAGUGAAAGACGGUUUUGCUGUCACUUAUAGAUGGAUCCGCGCCGCAUUAGCUAGUUGGUAAGGUAACGUCUUACCAAGGCAACGAUGCGUAGCCGACCUGAGAGGGUGAUCGGCCACACUGGAACUGAGACACGGUCCAGACUCCUACGGGAGGCAGCAGUAGGGAAUCUUCCGCAAUGGGCGAAAGCUUGACGGAGCAACGCCGCGUGAGUGAUGAAGGUCUUCGGAUCGUAAAACUCUGUUAUUAGGGAAGAACAAAUGUGUAAGUAACUAUGCACGUCUUGACGGUACCUAAUCAGAAAGCCACGGCUAACUACGUG